rnacentral:rRNA from 1 species
AUUGAACGCUGGCGGCAUGCCUUACACAUGCAAGUCGAACGGUAACGGGCCUUCGGGUGCCGACGAGUGGCGAACGGGUGAGUAAUACAUCGGAACGUGCCCGAUCGUGGGGGAUAACGAGGCGAAAGCUUUGCUAAUACCGCAUACGAUCUACGGAUGAAAGCAGGGGACCGCAAGGCCUUGCGCGGACGGAGCGGCCGAUGGCAGAUUAGGUAGUUGGUGGGAUAAAAGCUUGCCAAGCCGACGAUCUGUAGCUGGUCUGAGAGGAUGAUCAGCCACACUGGGACUGAGACACGGCCCAGACUCCUACGGGAGGCAGCAGUGGGGAAUUUUGGACAAUGGGCACAAGCCUGAUCCAGCCAUGCCGCGUGCAGGAUGAAGGCCUUCGGGUUGUAAACUGCUUUUGUACGGAACGAAAAGCCUUCUUAUAAUACAGGAGGGUCAUGACGGUACCGUAAGAAUAAGCACCGGCUAACUACGUG